AACCGGGGGAACUGAAACAUCUAAGUACCCCGAGGAAAAGAAAUCAACCGAGAUUCCGAAAGUAGCGGCGAGCGAAAUUGGACUAGCCCUUAAGCUUUACACGCGUUAGACGAACGGUCUGGAAAGUCCGACGAUACAGGGUGAUAGUCCCGUAGUUGACGACGUGUGUUCAGUGAAAUCGAGUAGGGCGGGACACGUGAUAUCCUGUCUGAAUAUGGGGGGGACCAUCCUCCAAGGCUAAAUACUACUGACUGACCGAUAGUGAACCAGUACCGUGAGGGAAAGGCGAAAAGAACCCCUGUGAGGGGAGUGAAAUAGAACCUGAAACCGUGUACGUACAAGCAGUAGGAGCAGGCUUUGUCCUGUGACUGCGUACCUUUUGUAUAAUGGGUCAGCGACUUAUAUUCAGUGGCAAGGUUAACCAUCUAGGGGAGCCGUAGGGAAACCGAGUCUUAACUGGGCGUUCAGUCUCUGGAUAUAGACCCGAAACCAGGUGAUCUAGCCAUGGGCAGGUUGAAGGUUGAGUAACAUCAACUGGAGGACCGAACCGACUAAUGUUGAAAAAUUAGCGGAUGACUUGUGGCUAGGGGUGAAAGGCCAAUCAAACCUGGAGAUAGCUGGUUCUCCCCGAAAGCUAUUUAGGUAGCGCCUCGGACGAAUACUACUGGGGGUAGAGCACUGUUAAGGCUAGGGGGUCAUCCCGACUUACCAACCCUUUGCAAACUCCGAAUACCAGUAAGUACUAUCCGGGAGACACACGGCGGGUGCUAACGUCCGUCGUGGAGAGGGAAACAACCCAGACCGCCAGCUAAGGUCCCAAAUUACUACUAAGUGGGAAACGAUGUGGGAAGGCUCAGACAGCCAGGAUGUUGGCUUAGAAGCAGCCAUCAUUUAAAGAAAGCGUAAUAGCUCACUGGUCGAGUCGGCCUGCGCGGAAGAUGUAACGGGGCUAAGUAGUAAACCGAAGCUGCGGCAAUGUGCUUUUGCACAUUGGGUAGGGGAGCGUUCUGUAAGCGGUUGAAGGUGUGUGGUAACGCAUGCUGGACGUAUCAGAAGUGCGAAUGCUGACAUGAGUAACGAUAAAGGGGGUGAAAAACCUCCUCGCCGGAAGACCAAGGGUUCCUGUCCAACGUUAAUCGGGGCAGGGUAAGUCGACCCCUAAGGCGAGGCCGAAAGGCGUAGUCGAUGGGAAACGGGUUAAUAUUCCCGUACUUCUUACAAUUGCGAUGGGGGGACGGAGAAGGCUAGGUGGGCCUGGCGACGGUUGUCCAGGUUCAAGUGCGUAGGCUUAAGAGUUAGGUAAAUCCGGCUCUUUUUAAGGCUGAGACACGACGUCGAGCAUCUACGGAUGUGAAGUCAUUGAUGCCAUGCUUCCAGGAAAAGCCUCUAAGCUUCAGAUUGUAAGGAAUCGUACCCCAAACCGACACAGGUGGUCGGGUAGAGAAUACCAAGGCGCUUGAGAGAACUCGGGUGAAGGAACUAGGCAAAAUGGUACCGUAACUUCGGGAGAAGGUACGCUCUCGACGGUGAAGUCCCUCGCGGAUGGAGCUAUUGAGAGUCGCAGAUACCAGGUGGCUGCAACUGUUUAUUAAAAACACAGCACUGUGCAAAAUCGUAAGAUGACGUAUACGGUGUGACGCCUGCCCGGUGCCGGAAGGUUAAUUGAUGGGGUUAGACUUCGGUCGAAGCUCUUGAUCGAAGCCCCGGUAAACGGCGGCCGUAACUAUAACGGUCCUAAGGUAGCGAAAUUCCUUGUCGGGUAAGUUCCGACCUGCACGAAUGGCGUAAUGAUGGCCACGCUGUCUCCACCCGAGACUCAGUGAAAUUGAAAUCGCUGUGAAGAUGCAGUGUACCCGCGGCUAGACGGAAAGACCCCGUGAACCUUUACUACAGCUUGGCACUGAACAUUGACCCUACAUGUGUAGGAUAGGUGGGAGGCUUUGAAGCACGUACGCCAGUAUGUGUGGAGCCGUCCUUGAAAUACCACCCUUGUAGUGUUGAUGUUCUAACGUCGACCCCUUAUCGGGGUUGCGGACAGUGCCUGGUGGGUAGUUUGACUGGGGCGGUCUCCUCCCAAAGAGUAACGGAGGAGCACGAAGGUGGGCUAAUCACGGUUGGACAUCAUGAGGUUAGUGCAAUGGCAUAAGCCCGCUUGACUGCGAGAAUGACAAUUCGAGCAGGUGCGAAAGCAGGUCAUAGUGAUCCGGUGGUUCUGAAUGGAAGGGCCAUCGCUCAACGGAUAAAAGGUACUCCGGGGAUAACAGGCUGAUACCGCCCAAGAGUUCAUAUCGACGGCGGUGUUUGGCACCUCGAUGUCGGCUCAUCACAUCCUGGGGCUGAAGUCGGUCCCAAGGGUAUGGCUGUUCGCCAUUUAAAGUGGUACGCGAGCUGGGUUUAGAACGUCGUGAGACAGUUCGGUCCCUAUCUGCCGUGGGCGUUGGAAGAUUGAAGGGGGCUGCUCCUAGUACGAGAGGACCGGAGUGGACGAACCUCUGGUGUUCGGGUUGUGUCGCCAGACGCAUUGCCCGGUAGCUAAGUUCGGAAUCGAUAACCGCUGAAAGCAUCUAAGCGGGAAGCGAGCCCUGAGAUGAGUCUUCCCUGAUACUUUAAGUAUCCUAAAGGGUUGUCGGAGACUACGACGUUGAUAGGUCAGGUGUGUAAGUGCUGUGAGGCAUUGAGCUAACUGAUACUAAUUGCCCGUGAGGCUUAACCAUACAACACCCAAGGGGUUU
rnacentral:rRNA from 1 species